UCCCUGGUGGCUCAGAUGGUAAAGCGUCUGCCUACAAUGCAGGAGGCCCAGGUUUGAUCCCUGUGUUGGGAA
rnacentral:tRNA from 1 species